ACAUUUGUCAGGCCUUGCCAAAACGGUGACGCAGUGGUGUGUUACCUGCCGACAGCAUAAUGCGAGGCAAGGUCCAGCCGUUCCACCCGGCAUACAAGCUUAUGGAGCAGCCCCCUUUGAAGAUCUCCAGGUGGACUUCACUGAGAUGCCAAAGUGUAGAGAUGAUCGAGUGUGGAUCAAGGACUGGAAAGUAGCCUCUUUGUGCCCACGGUGGAAAGGACCCCAGACUAUCGUCCUGAGCACUCCCACCGCUGUGAAGGUAGAAGGAAUCCCAGCCUGGAUCCAACACAGCCAUAUAAAACCUGCAGGGCCUGAAACCUGGGAGGCAAGACCAAGCCCAGACAACCCUUGCAGAGUGACCCUGAAGAAGACGACAAGCCCUGCUCCAGUCACACCCAGAAGCUGACUGGUCCACGCACGGCCGAAGCCUGAGGAAGCUCAUCAUGAGAUUCAUUUUUCUUAAAUUUUGGACUUAUACAGUAAGGGCUUCAACUGACCUUACUCAAACUGGGGACUGU
rnacentral:lncRNA from 1 species